ensembl:lncRNA
CGACCGCCGCUCGCGAGACCGCCCGCAUUGCCGGCGCAGCCAACUCCAGUCCCGCGAGGAUCCCCUCGAGCCCCCGGGACUGCUCGCCUGCUCGCCCCCAGCCGGGAACUCAGCAGAAUAAGCGAACACGGAGGGGCCGCACGCUCCGGAACGCGCGGUCAUCCGCACAGCCGCGCGGGGACCGCGCGCUUAAGGCAGAAAAAUCGCGGGGCUUCUCUGUCUCCGUCCCUUCGAGUAACGCGGGGCCCCACGCUAUCCCGAACGCGCGCACAGCGCCGAGCGGAGCGGUCCCGCACGGGGUCCGACUGAGGCCCGAAGCGGCGCUUCGCGCGGGGCUGCGGCGGCCGCGGAGCUCUCGUGGUGGCCGCAGCCCUGAGCCGCUUCUCUCCGCUCCGCCGCUUCGUUCGGGAAACAGGGAGCGGUGUUUGGCCGCUGCGAUCUCCAAAUUAAAACAAAACACCUCAAAACAAAAAGAUUUGUCUUGCAAAUAAAUGCCGAAUUAGAAACAAGCCGCGGGAGGUGGGGCUGCGGGGCUCGACUUGGUUUAAUUUCUGUGAUGGUUUUGCGCGUGGGUGUCUUAAUUGUAUUUUGUUUUUUUCGUUAAAAGCAUUUUGGAAACCGAAGGUAACACCUCAUCGAAUGGUUCUCGGGGCAGCGGGCGGGGAUGGGAGCACCCGGCGCGACGGAACCCAUCUUUAGGGCGAUAUUUGUGAGUAAAAGCCCGAGAACAAAGAUGAAAUGGAUCCCGGGGUGCGAGGAUGUUGGGUUCCCGCUCCGCUCCUCCCGGCCCCGCCGCACGAUCGCUUCGCUAUUUUCGUUUGGGUUUUUUUUUUUUCUUUUUUGUUCGGUUGAUCCUUUUUGAUUGUUUUUUGUUGUUGUUGUUUUGUUUUUUAAUGAGAAUUUACAAAAACUAUUGCGGAGAGGAAAGAAGGGCUGCGAUUGUCCUCGUAGUCGUAGGAGACAGAUUGUGGGAAGCCCGAUGUGGUGGAGAAACGGAAUCCUUACACGAAAAUAAGGAGUAUCAGCAGAGAAACAAAAACGAAAGGAAAGCGCGAGCCCCGGGAGCUCGGGAGAUCUUUGUCCCGCGUGCGGAGAUCGGUGCGUCUCGCUAUCCGUGGAUCGGUUUCGAACAAGAAAAUAGAAGAGCGCGAUAUAUUAAAAUAUGGUUGUUGAUUUUUUUUCACAUGUAUAUCGUGUGCAAAUAUACGCAUUGUGUAUAUAAACACGGAGCAUCUACGCGUUUCAGUACUUUUGCAUUUAAGAGUACGAAAAAGCACAGCACAUCCGAAGCCUUAGGCACGAAGCAUUAUGUACGAAGGGCGUAAGGAGCCCUCCCGGCCACAGCGCGGGCCGCUCCGCCACCCUCAGCCCCGGGCGGGGCCGCCG